UAAAUGUUUUAUUUGCUUGUUAUUGUAUGUUUAGUUUAUUAACGUAAACGUGUUGAUGACCGCGGUUGUGAUACGCGGGUAAUUUAAAUAGGGUUAUUGUUGACCAAGGUAGGUAAUUUAGCUAGGGUUAGUGUUGAUCAAGGUCAAUAAUCGGAAGGGUCAAUGGUCGGGGUCAUUGAUCGGUUUAUUGGUCAAGGUCAUUCAUACCGGGUCAUUGACACGGGGUCAUUGAUCGGUUUUUUUGGUCAAGGUCAUUGAUACCGGGUCAUUGACACGGGGUCAUUGAUCGGUUUUAUUGGUCAAGGUCAUUGAUACCGGGUCAUUGACACGGGGUCAUUGAUCGGUUUUAUUGGUCAAGGUCAUUGAUACCGGGUCAUUGACACGGGGUCAUUGAUCGGUUUUAUUGGUCAAGGUCAUUGAUACCGGGUCAUUGACACGGGGUCAUUGAUCGGUUUUAUUGGUCAAGGUCAUUGAUACCGGGGGUCAUUAGUCGAGGUCAUUGAUAGAGGUCAGGGAUAAGUGGUCGUUGACCGGAUUAUAGGUUAGGUUAUUGACUUGACCUACUUCCAUUAGUUCCAAUGUUCUCUCAUAGAUGGCGCUAGUAGUUUUGAAAUC